GUGUGGAGCGCACCGCUAAAUAUAUAAUAAUAAUAAUAAAUAUGAAACAUAACAUAAACAUGCAGUACACAUGAUAUUGAAGAUUAAGGGUAGGUUAGGUCAAAGACAUUACACAUACUUGCCCCUUACAUUAUUUAGUUACUUAAGUUCAUUUAAGUGGUGCAUUAUCCGUACAUAAUUGGUGCUUUGGUCUUUCUCUUGGGUCUUUCCUCUAUUUCAUUCCUAUUGAGCUCCAAUUUAUUUAUUUCAACCUCAUCGGAAUUUACAACUGUGUCAUUAUAUUCGUUACUUCCUCUGUCACUUCUUUUUCAAUUAGAUUUACCAUCGUUUUGUUACUUUGUGAAUAAAUAAUGUGAUUAACUCAGAACUUCAUAUAUUACACAUCUAAUCCACCCUUUUUUAUUUGGUCUAUAAUAAUCCUUUGCAUAAACCUUAUCGUUAAUAUUGAAUAUUUUCUUAAUUAAGUCGCCCCUUUAAUUUUUAUUUUGACUUAAGCUUGCAUUCAAUUGUGUAUUAUCUUUGACAGCUAUAUCUGGUUCUUAUGUUUUGAAAGGUCUUACUGAAUUCUCAGUUGCACUAUUGCUCGCGGAAUGAUACAGCGGAAUUGUAAAAUGUUUAAUAUUAUGUAAAUACCUCGAAAAUCAUUAUCCACUUACUAUAAACAUCUGUAAUAAUUAGAUACAUUUUCUUUUUAAUAGGACCUGCAUAAUCCAAUUGUAUAAUGUCUAAUCUAAUUGGGUGUCAACAUUAAGACAUUGGGUCAAUAAUUAUUUUUAAUCACAUAAUGCAAUUAUGUUACAUUGCAUAUAAU